GGAGAGGUACCCAAGUGGCCAACGGGGGCAGACUGUAAAUCUGCUGGCUCCGCCUUCGCAGGUUCGAAUCCUGCCCUCUCCACCA
rnacentral:tRNA from 1 species